rnacentral:rRNA from 1 species
GAUUAACGCUAGCGGCAGGCCUAAUACAUGCAAGUUGUACGGGAUUAUCGGUAGCAAUACCGAUAUGAGAGUAGCGCACGGGUGCGUAACACGUAUGCAACCUGCCUUUAACUGGGGAAUAGCUCACCGAAAGGUGAAUUAACACCGCAUAAAAUCACAGAAGGACAUCCUUCAAUGAUUAAAUCUCCGGAGGUUAAAGAUGGGCAUGCGUCCGAUUAGCUAGUUGGCGGGGUAACAGCCCACCAAGGCAACGAUCGGUAGGGGGUCUGAGAGGAUGAUCCCCACACUGGUACUGAGACACGGACCAGACUCCUACGGGAGGCAGCAGUAAGGAAUAUUGGACAAUGGGGGCAACCCUGAUCCAGCCAUGCCGCGUGAAGGAUGAAGGCCCUAU